rnacentral:lncRNA from 1 species
UGUAUCUCCAACUUUUUGCUAACAUCAAUAAGUUCCAAUAACUAGGUUCACAUACAUAGUCUCGACACACAUAAGUUCACGUACAUAGUCUCGACAACGGUAAGUUCACAUGCAUAGUCUCGACACACAUAAGUUCACGACUAGUUCAUCGACGUGGUGUUCAUUUUCUACUGAGUAGUACGUAUCCAUUUCCCCUUCUUAUCGCAUGCCUCGUCU